CGGUGAACCCGCUUCGGUGGGGGAUCAGUGGCGAACGGGUGAGUAACACGUGGGCAACCUGCCCCCGGCUCCGGGAUAACUCCAAGAAAUUGGGGCUAAUACCGGAUAUGUCCGCUGACCGCAUGGUCUGGUGGUGGAAAGGGUUUCCGGCUGGGGAUGGGCCCGCGGCCUAUCAGCUUGUUGGUGGGGUAGUGGCCUACCAAGGCGACGACGGGUAGCCGGCCUGAGAGGGUGACCGGCCACACUGGGACUGAGACACGGCCCAGACUCCUACGGGAGGCAGCAGUGGGGAAUAUUGCGCAAUGGGCGAAAGCCUGACGCAGCGACGCCGCGUGGGGGAUGACGGCCUUCGGGUUGUAAACCUCUUUCAGCAGGGACGAAGCCGUGAGGUGACGGUACCUGCAGAAGAAGCACCGGCCAACUACGUGCCAGCAGCCGCGGUAAUACGUAGGGUGCAAGCGUUGUCCGGAAUUAUUGGGCGUAAAGAGCUCGUAGGCGGUUCGUCGCGUCGGCUGUGAAAUCCCGAGGCUCAACCUCGGGUCUGCAGUCGAUACGGGCGGACUGGAGUUCGGCAGGGGAGACUGGAAUUCCUGGUGUAGCGGUGAAAUGCGCAGAUAUCAGGAGGAACACCGGUGGCGAAGGCGGGUCUCUGGGCCGAUACUGACGCUGAGGAGCGAAAGCGUGGGGAGCGAACAGGAUUAGAUACCCUGGUAGUCCACGCCGUAAACGUUGGGCGCUAGGUGUGGGGGCCAUUCCACGGUCUCCGUGCCGCAGCUAACGCAUUAAGCGCCCCGCCUGGGGAGUAC
rnacentral:rRNA from 1 species